ACCGGGCUGGCGAGUCCCAAAUAGGACGAAAUGCGCGUUCUGGAU
rfam:Schistosoma mattheei strain Denwood, Zambia genome assembly, scaffold: SMTD_scaffold0001224